CUCUUCUUCUUCGUCUUCUUCUUUGGUUUCCUUUCCCAAAUUUCCAUAUGAAUUGUUCUCUGGGUCUCUGAGCAUGGUUCUUUUUCUCUUACUGUUGAGGGUUUUGGGCUAUGGGUUCUUGGUAACGAGGGUUUCAAGCUUUGGCUAAUUUGCCAAAUUUUGUUGCAAUUUUUUCCUUUUAUGAAUCUUUAAGAGUAUUGGGUAUGAUUAGAGCAACUAAUUUCCGUUGUAAAUUGACUUUGUUGAAUUGGGGUUACAGGGUAGUUUGAAUUGAUGGGUUUAUUCUACCGUGUUCAUGGCUUCAUCUCUGUUUAUUGGUUUCUGCAAUUUGGGCUAGUUCCAUUACAUCUUGUUUCUUUUCCUGCAUUUCUUUUUUACUACUAAAAAUGGGUUCUUUUGAGAUGGGGGCUUUGGUUUAACAAAAGGGUUCUACAAUUGGGUUCUUUUUUUGAUGGAAGGAUCAAUGAGCUUUUUCCAGGUCUUGGUGUCAUGUACAGUUGUUGUAAGGGUAAAGAGUUAUGAAUAGAGAAGUUAGCUACUGCAAUACAUCUCAUUUUGUUUAGUUGGGGACUUGGGUGUAGUAUAAAAAUGGUUACUACUCUUCAUGGGUUCAUCUGUUCUAUUGCCUUAUCUAUUGUGUUACUGUUGGUACUCCCAGAAAUUUUAUUAGGAACAUAAUUAGGCUUGUUAAUUGACAACUCUGCAUAUCAUUAUGUUGGUAUCAUCUUAGUGGAAGUUUUGGAUACUUAAACAUAGGUUCUCCCAGAUGUGACUGUGAGUGACAUUGAGAUGCUUAGAAUCACUAUAGAGCAGCUAUUAUGGAUUUUUAAACGUAUCAAUGCUGUUAGACAGUUGUGAAUACAAGUGCCUUAACGAUUUACUAUCCUUCUAGGUUCUGGAAAAUUGCAUUGCAUUGGGUUGAGAAUAGACAUGGUGAUUGAAAAGUCAGUGCCUCCCUUGGCAUCAUCAAAAGGAACUCUGUCACGAAGUAAUGUUCCUUUUCAGGAAAGAUUGGGAAGGUUUCCAAUGGAGAUUGGCGAGUGCUCUUCCCAUACUAAGCCACCUGAGGGUAAGAGUACUCAUAGACGCUCUGGUAUUUGUGAUGUUUCAUUAGGGAGUGGACCAAGAGCUCGGGUAAGCAGUUUGAGACCUAUCAGAGAAGCGGCUUCUGUUGGUAUUUCAAAGGAAGAGAUGGCUACAGGAGAAGAGUCUCAUAAUGAAGAUGGCAUGCGAAUGAAGGUGAAAGCUGCUCAGCGCUCAUUUUGGUUUGCUUUUAGAACUCUAAAAGAUGAUGAUCCAAAGGGUAGGAGGUUUGAUGCUAAGGCGGCAAAGGUUGUCAAGGCAAGUGGACGGUCUGUGAAUGAAGGGAAGCCAAUAAUUGGGAUUGUGCCGGGUGGUGAUGUUGGUGACGAUUAUACAUAUAGAGCACAACUCGGUGUAAUUGGGUUGCAUAGACCAAUUAGGGCAGGUAUUGAUUUUGUUAGGCAUGGUGGCAAGAGGCUUGCCACUAGCAUUGUGGCCUCGGGAAGCUAUGAGGAUGACAUCAAAAAUAAGAAGUCUAUCAAAUACACUGGCCAUGGGGGCAACUACAUGAAUGAAGAGAAGAAGAAAUAUGAUCAAAAGUUAGAGAGAGGAAACCUUGCUCUGAGGAAUAGUUUUUACAUGAAAAAUUUGGUGAGGUUGAUUCAUAGGAUCAAGAACUCGGAUGGUGAAUACAAGUAUGUUUACAAGGGACUGUUUUUGGUGACCAAGUGCAGCCGGAAAAGAGGAAGACAUGGAAAGCUUUUAUGGGAGUUUCACCUUGUUUUCAUUCACAAGGGUUGAGAAGCUCUGAUUUGUAACCCUCUCUAUGUUUAUAGAUCUCUCUCUCUAUGCUUAAGCCACCAUGUAUAGGCUCAUUAGGCUUUAUGGUUCAAAUAUAUUGUUUAGCAUUCAUGUACUUGACGGGAUGUUAGAAUAUACUAGAUUUGCUAAUGAGAUUUUUCAGAACUUUGGCAGCCUAGCUAUUAUUAUUUUGAGACGAUUUAUUGCUGAAUGGUUGUGUUAUGCUUCAUGCAUUUCUGCAUAUAAGGCUUUAAGUUUAGUUUUCUUCUUUUCUUUUAGUGCCAACUCAAGAAGAAGAAAAAGGUGUUGCUUCCACCAUGUGAUAUGUGUUAGAACAUAAUGCACAUUGGUCAAUAAGUAAUCUACUAGAUCAAUGAAGAAAAGCCUAGAAUAAUGCUGUAAUGAUCAUGAGAUGUAAUUAAGUCCUAGAGUUGUCUAGAGCUAGCAAAUGAUCUAGCUUGAUCUAGACUAAUCCAAUAGGUCGGUGGCUUAGUAACAAGGUCGGUUGACAAGUCAUAUAUAUACAUGUAGUAAACAGUAAACACAAUCAGAUGAGUGAAUGAAUUAAUGAAGCAAGCUAUUGAAGUAUAGUAAUUCCUCCUCUGUUUCCAUAUCCCUCUAUCUUAACCUCCUAAACUACUUGUCCUAAUAACAAACCUUCUCUCAAGUCUAGCUCCUAAACACCUUGUCCUAAACAUAUUGUUCUAGCCCACUACAUUCCAAACACUUCCGCAAGCUAAACUCCGAUUGUGGUAAUAAGCCACAAACUCUAAAAGUGGAACACCCACAAUAAUUUCUAACAAUGGUAUCAGAGCCUAGUGCGAUGAAAGCCUUGGAGCGUUAAAUUUAUCAGAGCUUGCUUCGAUCAAAUUUAGACGUUAAAAUUGUCCACCGUAUCUACCUCCACCUCCAACCAAUCAUCAAUUACUCUUCCUAUCUUCAAGGGGGAUAACUAUGACUUUUGGAGUAUCAAAAUGAGGACUUUCUUCAUGUCUCAAGAUCUAUAGGACAUUGUAGAUAAAGUGUUCUCAACUUCGGAAAAUCCAACGCUGGAGCAACUACGACAAGAAAAGAAAGAAAAGCAAAGAGAUGCGACGACACUAUUUGCAAUCUAACAAGUGAUGGACGACACAAACUUUUUAAGAAUCAUGGGAGCUACUACAUCAAAAGAAGCUUGAGAUCUACUAAAGGAGGAGUUCCAAUUAAGGAACUCAAAGGCACAUUCCCUCAAACUACAAACAAUGAGGAGAGAAUUAAAAAAUAUAAAAAUGAAAGAUUUUGAGAUUGUAAAAGAUUAUUAUUCUCGCAUUAAGAAAAUAGUAUAUCAAUUAAGAAAAUAUUAAUGAGACUAGAGUACUAGAAAAAAAAUACUCAUUAGCCUCACUAUAAAAUAUAAUCCAAUAGUUACUGCAAUUGAAAAUUUUAAAGACAUUUCACACAACAAUUUGCUUCUCGUAUCGACGAAUUAGAAGAGAUGUUAACCGGCAACCGUAUUUGGAAACAACGAUUAGUGGAUAUUGGUGACAAAAUUAAUAGGUUAUGUUUGAGCCCAAUUUUAUAUUCUGGUUAUCUUGUAAUAAGUUAGCCCAAGGGCCAAUACCUACGGUCCAAAUAUCUGUAUAUCAUUAGAUAUCUUAAGGAUUCGGUUAUGUGAUUUGAGUAGGAGAAUAUCUCUCAUGAUUCGAUUAAGAAUCUGAUUGCCUUGAUGCGCAAGUCAUUCGCGAACCUAUCUUAUAUAAAAGAGGUUCUAGGGCAAAUAAGGAAAAGGACGAACAAAUCAACAAACCCUUGCACCCUGCAUAUUAGACGCCUCUCCAGGAGCACCCAAUCUACCAAAAAGCCUCUUCAGGAGCACCAUCAAGCCUCAUCGCGAGCAAAAAUCCGCUUCACUCACCAAAAGCCUCGAUCAUGAGCAAAGCCCGCCCCCAGACCAUAAAGCCUCAAUCACGAGCACAAGCCCACCAAACCAUUGUUAUAGAGCCCCUCUCUAGCAAAUAUCCCUUUUAUUUUGUUGUUGAAGUAAAUCCUAGGGGUUUCCUUAUGUCGUAAGAAAGAAUCUAGCAGCAUGAUUGACCGCUCUUGCUUAAAAGUAUCAAGACUAGAUAGUUGCACCAACUCAGAAGUGCUGACAUGCUACACAAAGCCGGUUGUUUAAAGAAAGUCAAAUUUCACCCCGAACAUAUUGGCACUGCCCAAGCGGGACAUAUCAGUGGCAAGAUUGCGUCCGACAAUAUCUAUGAAAGGAAUUAUCUAUGCGUUCCUUACCGGAACAUUUGCACUGCAAACCUCACAAUCCACUGAAGUGCAAAAGCUUGACUAUUGAGCAAGUCAAUAAGCGUAUUCAGUUUAGAAACGAUGACUGGAGGAUCUGGAGUCAAGAAACUUGUCUCUCAAUAGCAGCCACAUGAUAUAGUUGAUCAAAUCCGUAGCAUGAAAGAAGAACUAAUCAAAGAGCAGGAAGAGAUGAUGUCAAUAGUUGCGGAUAUCUUUGAAGGAAUCAAAAGGAUGGAUGACCAAGUUUCCCGGCUUUGGGGCAAGAUGGAAAGUCACUCUGAAACUAUCCAAGAGCUCAAGGACAUUGCUGCCAAAUUGAAUGCAAUUGUCGUUGACAAGGUUCUUUGCAACACAGAUAAUAGCUCAGAAGGGAACGUUGUGUUGCAGCGAACACUUUUCCCGGAUGAUAAACUUGUGGAUUCCAUAGCUUCCAAAUCUCCUACUCUCAAAACCGGAGGACAGAUAGUGCUCAAUGUGACUCCACCAAAUGCCGGUCAAGUGAGGCCUCAUGUUAAUCCAACCUUCCGAGACCGAAUGUAGAGGAGCCAGUUGUGCAACCAGCACAAUAGGUAGGCGCGAAUAUAAUCAAUCUGCCUGUGGAUAUCCCAUCUCUCAUGGAAUAGAUGAUGCAGUGUUUUAGAGCUGAGGUAGCAGCACCUGCUGUGAACCUCACGUACAAGAAUCCUUACUCUGAUUAAGUCGCGAAGGGUCAGAAGAUGCAGCAACUUAUAUCUCUAGGUUUCAAGGCAAAUAAAGUCCCUUCAGGAACGAUGCUAUGUUGAAAUUAAAAUUUUUUGGUUCGUCCUCGGGUUCAGCUCUGACAUGGUAUACUAAAUUGAUACUUGGGUCUAUCCCUAAUUGUCCCACUAUGGAACCAAUGUCCAGAACCACUUUUGGUAAUCACUACUUCUUACUGGAUAAAUGCUGUUGGAGAUUUCACAUGAUAGAAUCAAUUUUUGCUUCUUUAACUGUUAGGAGAAUUGCAGAUCAACAGAAGUUUUUGAUACCAAAUCGUGUUGAAUUGAAUCGUUGUUGGUACCCUUUGUACUAGAAUCUACAUAGAGAGCUAUAGAGCAUAUUGGAUGUCAUGUUUUAGUUGUUGCCUUACCCUAUCAUUCUUGGUUGCUAGAUACAUGCCCUUCUUGAAAGGUGUUCAGGGUCUGGCAUUGCUAACUAACAGCUCUAGAAAGACCCCAAGGGUGGACAACUUCUAAGUUCUAACCCUGUUGUUCAUGGUCUAGUGAGUGGAAUAUUGGUAAGGAGUUUAGCUCUGGUUUUCAGCAUUUGUUCCAGAAGUGCUGCAGCUAUGACUCUAUACUUAGGAGAAGGUAUAAUGGACUUAGAAUUACUGCAACUUCAAAACUAUACUUGGGAGAAGGUAUUGCGCAAGACACUAAAUUUGAAAUAUAGAAGACGAAACAUAUAGGAGGAUAUAGUUAAUUUACAACUUUACAUUACAUUUAUACAUAUAUAGAGUAUAGUUCCUGACAUGAUCAGUACUUUCUUGCACUAGCUAACAUAAUCCAGAUUGCGAAAUAGACAGUACUAAUGCUACAUUGUUGGGCAUGGCUCACAGAGUGACCAAUUAUUACAAUUAACCACUUGAAAUAGCUUAGUUAACGAUGGCUGACCAACCACUUGGUAUCGGCAAAGAGGACAUACAUGAUUGUUUUUGAGCCAGUUGACAAUGCAGUCUCCAUGGAAACGGUGUGAGCAAGGCAACCGAGCAACUACCCUCAAAGGGGGUGGCUCUUUUCUUGGCGUCUUAGCGAUGGUGCCGCUACUGCUUUGUAGUCCAAGCAGCCUCUUGCUCUUCCUCUUGGGCUGUUGUUUGAAUUGUUUCUUGCCUUUUUUAUCAACUAGGUCCUCCAUACAAAUAACACAAGAGUCUUCAAACCCCAAGAAGCAGCCAUCAACUCUCUCUUUCUCCAUACCCUCAACUGAUGAUAUCGCAUCGUCUAGAAAAGCAUCGCAAGCAGAUGUGAACAAGCACUCCUUCACUUCCACUAUGUCGACAUGAAUGACAGAAGCUGUUGAGGCCACUGCUGGAUCUUCUUUUUCGGCCACCCGGAAUACUUCUUCAAUACAAGAUCGUCGUACAUGAUCGGGGAGUGGCUCCUCCUUAAAUCGGCGUGAAAAGAAGUCGACCAUUCUCCAUGUAUACUCACUCCUGUUGGAUAAUAGCUCGCUUCGAGGAAGAUCAGAGAUGACGAGUUCGUCACCUUUAUGGUGGUAAGGUAUGCCAUCAGACAUGGUUUUACCAGGUUUCAAGGAGACUCCCAUCUUAGUGUAGAUCUUUAUCUUGAUCUCAACCGAGUCCUCGCCUUCCCAUCGAUUGGGGUCGCUUGUGAGCCACACUUCGCUCUCGAAUGAACGUUUCUCAAAAUACAUGAUUGCUUCCACUACCAGAAUAUGGAAACAAUCUGUAGUCGACGAUUGCUAUUAUAUAGGCAUGCUAGCUAGGUAGUCCGAAUUCGACGAGGACUACAAUCCUAAUGCUGUUAGGGUUUAGCUAAAAGGAUUUUUGGAGAUUUCCGAAUGGGAAGAGGAUUCCGCUUUUAUAGCCAGCGUGGACCUAACUCCUAAGCAACCAAGUAAAAUGCGUCCCAAAGAAAAGAAAAAAAAAAAAAAGGAAAAAGAAUAUAAAAUCGGUCAAAAUGACCCCAAAAAAGAAAAAGAAAAAAGGAAAUAUAAUCGCAAUUAUAUAUGGUCAUUCUCAUUGUAUAGGUGUCAACCAGCUGUGCUUUGUGGCCACCGCAGACCACAAUAACGAUUCUCUGUUGCCCUCCACUGUUGCUCUCCUUCAACUCUAUAUAGCAACCUCACCCUCAUCUUCCAUCCCUUAUUCUCUUCCCCUACUACUUCGUCUUCAACCCUCACUUUCCUCUGUUGCAUUUCACUCUAGCUCAUUCACACGUACGUACGAGGCCAUGGCUCUCACACCUGCCAUGCUCGCCCUCACACUCUCACUCUUCCUCCUCCUAGCUUCAUUCUCCACAGCUCAACCACCCUCCUACUCCCCAACAUAUGCUCCCAUGACCACUCCCUCCACACCUGCGCCAACAACCACCAUCACUCCGCCACCGACCGUUUCAGCUCCUCCUCCCAUGGUCACUGCCACUCCGCCGACCAGUAUGCCUCCUUCAAUGCCUCCGAUGACUUCCACCAGCCCUCCUUCAAUGCCUCCAAUGACUUCUUCUACUCCUAUGCUCAGCCCUACAAGCCCAGCCCCGUCUACUAUGAUGAGCUCGCCGCCUGCACCAGCCGCACCAGGUGAAUCUCCCAUGGCGUCUACUCCAGGUUCAGGUGCAGUUGUUCAUGGAGUUAACAUGGCCUUGCAGCCAUUCCUGGCCGGAUCAGCUAUUGCUCUACUACUCCUUGCUUGAUUGAACUUAACGUACGUAGAUUUAUAUUGCUAGUAUAUCUGUGUAUCCUCUUUACAUUUUUGUUCUUUUUUUCCUUUUGUCUAUUUUUUUUUCUCUUUUGUUUGGUUAGUUCUGAUUUUUGGGAGCUCCAUUGUGAUUUCUAAGAGGAGAUUUAUCGGAUGUACGUACGUAUGUACUUAUGUUAAUAACGUACUCUUCAAUAGUUUGUAGCAUUUUUCAUAGAUGAAUAAGAGAGCCCGGCCGUCAUUCUUGUUUUGUGUAUAGAAGUGUGUACUAAUCAAUAAUUACAGUUGUUUACCUGCAUAGUUAAACUGCAAACACCUAAAACCUAAUCGAUCCUGUAUAUAUGAUCGGGUUCAAUUUACAGUUCGAUCGCCUACCACUCAUACCCUAGCUGGUACAGCAUUUCUAUAUUUCAUUUCAAUAUACGUGAUAAUAAUAAAUUGGGUCUGGAAAUUCAAAAUUUACUUCCCAACAAUAUCUCCAACUGUAUAUGUAUAUCAAAAACCCUAACACUCUUAGAGUUGAUCAAUGAAAUGGUGGUUGGGUUGUUGAAAUGGGUGGAUAGAGCAGUGAUAUUUCUGUGGAAAUAUCAAUGGAACAUAUAUGAUAGUGGAAUUUGUACAUGGUGGGGAAGGAAUGGGAUGAGAAAAUGAUAAAGUUAGGUGCAGCAUUAGCUAGGGUAACUAGUAAAGGAAUAAUGUGUGGAAGAAAUGGGAUAUGGUGAAUUGCAUAUUAGGAUAGGAUACAUGCGCGCAUGCAUUGCGUUCCAGCUUUGCUUGGUAGUCUUGUUUGUGAUCUUUUUAUGGUGGGUUAAAGGAUUAGAGGGAGAUAGAAAUGGCAUGGCCAGCCAAGCUCAAAUGGGAAUGAUCGACAUGAAAGCACAAGGCAUCCAAAGGAAUGGUACUUAUUCAUGGGGUAUGUGGGGUUUGAUACGCAUAUAUGGUGACAAAACAUAUAAAUUGGAAAGUGAAGUGCACAUGACUCCUACUACUAGUUGCCCCCACGAAACAUACAUAUAGGUGAGCCGUGAGCGAGAGGUCGAUCACGAAUCCAUUAACUUCUUCCUUUGUGUAAAUUCUAGCUUCUCGUGUUUUUUUUACAGUUAGAUCAUCAAUAAGUUGUGAAAACAGUUAUGCAUACAAGUAGAGGAUCCAGGAAAAACUACUUUGGCAUAAUAUUGGUUUCUUUUAGUUGAAUACAAGGAAUUACAUUACGCAUGCAUACAUUUCCACUACAAUGAGUUCCAAAACGAUGACAAUUGAUUGACCGAGAGACUGAGAGAGCCCUCCGAUCCCCCCGCUAAUAUUUAAGAAGGAAUGAUCGGACUCAUCGGAGUGCUAAUUACUUUCCUGAAACUCUGAAAGAGUUCCUCAAAAUGCCAUAGAUUGGCUUAAGCAUCAGGGAGUUGUAGCUAGGAAUAACUACUUGAUAUGUUUAGGGUAAAAUGACCUAUCCCUACUUUCAGCUGGCCAACUUCUAGAAAGAAAUAUAUAGCAGAUGUUUCUUCAACAGACGUAACUAUGUGCUCACAGUUAUGAGAGAGAGAAGGGAUAAUUUGGUGACGACUAGCUAGCUUACAGCAGGCAAUCAAUGAGUGAUGCAUGGUGGUCUGCGUACGUAUGAACAACCGUGAGUGCUUAUGGCACUACAAAGGAAUAAUCCAAAUGGACGAUGUGACAAAUAACAUGUAAUGCGAAAAAACCACAUGCACCGUGUUGGUCACUAGAAUUUGGAACUUUGGAAUAUAACUAUUUGUAUAUAUACUUGCAUAUCAAUUGCAGUAUGAGUUCAAUUUAGUCAUGGUAUGUGGUAUGUCUGAGUUCAAUACGUACGAUCAAACAUUCACAUCAGCAGGUUAAUUAGUGUGAGUUAUUCUGCUUAGGUCUCAUUCUUCAAAACUUGCUCAUCUUGAAACAGUUUAAUCAUUUAGUGUUAACCUUGAAGGCUUGAACUCUCAUUCAGUUGAACCCAAUUUGAGUUGAGGAUUGGUUACUUGUCCUUCCAACUCAAUCUCAGAUCGCCUAACAAACAAUGAAACAAAUCACCUCCUAGGAUCUUAUUAUUUUUACAUUAUCACUUCCUUGCUAUUACGUACAGAAUCCAAAACUCCCAAAUUAUUCCCAAUUAUGUAAAUCACAAGGAAUAUAUGUACGUGUGCCCUGCUUUGCUGAUUAGAUUCGUAUACGUAGUAAAAGCAAAUAAUAUGAAUGGCGUAGUUUCACGAUCAGAAACAUAAAGCUAAAGUUUGUAUAGAUUAAAGCAUUGGAUGCCAUUCAAAGAUCCAACAAUUCAGAACCAUCAUACUAUAAGCUUUAUAUGUCUUUUACCUUUUUCUAUGAAGACAGACACCAAACUACAAUGUUCUCAUGAAUGAAAUUAAGAGACAAGAAUAUAUACAUAGCCACAUGUCAGGCUGAUUAUUAAUGAGAAACCCUAAUGCGCGUGUAGAAAACCCAGAGAAUUUUCCUAUCAUAUGGGAUUCAAGAUUCUUAAGCGCACUUGGUUUAAGUUGUAUCCUGGUUUGACAUAGACCAAACUCUUUAGUCUGUGCUUUACGAUUGAUUUGAAUUGUGAAAGAAAUGGACUUAUAUUGCAUCAAGCAGCGGAAAAAUGAUCGAGCCAGCUUUAGUGCUACCAAUUUCAAAGUUGAUGGGUUCUCAGCAGGGCAAGACCUCACAUUAAAUGAAAGAUACUCCACACAAUUUAAUUUACGAAAACUAGAAAAGAGACAAUUAGUGAUGUUUUGUGGUUGGAACUUGGAAAGUUUGGGCAAAUUCUGCUUAAUUUAAACAGACAAAUUAAGAUUGAAAGCUAUGCAACUUCCAACUCUAAAAAGCUCAGUCACAUUAUUGCAUACACACACACACACUUAUUUAUGGUAGACCGUAUAGAAAACAAUGAUGAAGAUUUUGAUCUCCUAGUGAUUCAUUUUCACAGCCAAGUGCAAACAUAUUUGAUAUAGAAAAUCGUCAGGAACGUCGACAAAGAGCGAUAUCCAACAAGGUAGCGAUGAGUGAUGACCCCAGAGAAAAGAGAGUAUCGAGUAGCAUUAGAGAUUUGGGACUAUAUAUGGAUGUACUAAUAUUGGAGAGAGUAUUAUUUGUCUCGGAAGUUUCUAUUUCAAGACGACAGAAUUUGAUCGGUUGGAAGAGUUAUCUGACCAACGUUUAUGCGAGGGAGUUGAUGAUGGGCAUGGUAAUCAACAUCAGAAAGAGUAAUGGUGCCGGUGAGUGAGUCGACGACGAUGACGCUGCUGAAGAGGGUGAGACCUUGAGAUCGAGUUGUAAUAGUGUUUGCUACCAAGAGUUUCGGACUAAGAUGUGUUGCUCCCUUGCUCACAUGUUUUUGGCAGCAAGGGCAAAGGGAGUUGGCUGAGAGCGAGUCAUUAUGUCUUCUCUGCCGAUAUAACAUGCCUACAGAUUAUUGCUCUUUGCUAGUGUGGAGUGUUCUUAAUUUUCUUUUUGGACAAUAUAUUCCUAUAUAAUAUAAUCUUCAUGACAUCCCUGGUGCCUUAGCUUGUUUAUUUGUGAACUAUGUUCACUUAAUGAUAAGUAGUUUUCCUAAUUUGUGACCAAGUUUCACAAGAAUCUGAAUAAAAAUGAACGUUGCAAGCAUGUUACUAAUCGACUAGACGAGGGAUAUGGAUUUUAGUGGUUCAAAAUUUGGGUAACUUUUCUUUUGCUUCUGGUAAAGGUUUAGAUUUCAUUGAAAUAAAAAGAAUAAAAGAAAAAAAGAAGAGGAAACGGGAACCACAACCUGUAGGGAAUAGUAUACACCUAUACAAUGACCAAAGUCAAUAGCUCAAAGAAAUUCGAAAAACACCAAAUAAGCUUUACCACUCAAAGUUUGGAAAGAACUUGGUCUCAUUAAACCAUAUAAAUUUAGACCUCUGAAAGCUUCAGGUGCAAUUCCCAACUUCACAUACUCAAAAAUAGCAUUUGAAAAUGUGACGCUUUUGGUCGAACAAUAGUGAAUGCUUUUCAACUCCUAGUUCACAGCAAGUAGCUAAUUUCAAUUAAGAAAAGAAACCAAAUACAGCACUUGUCAAUUAUUACAGUGUUGCAUAUGAUUGAGGAAUUCACUAAAAAAGUAUACUAUCAAACAAUGUGGUACAAUGACAUGAUCCGCUAAAUUUGGAACUAGCAAUAUGACAAGUGUUACCGAUAAAGGAGAAUGAAAACUCAAGUCAAAAUUUGCCAAGAAAUGACUGGUUCAUGAGCAUGCAGUGUAAAGUACGAUGCUAAGUUGCUAACCACAGAGCUGCAUAAUGAGAAGAAGGCUAGUUCCACCUUGGAAUCUAACCACUGCGCAUCAACUGGGUUGUAGGUGAUGCGGAUUCUACUAGUAUACUCUCUCUAAUUGGUUUGUAUUUUCUAAUCCCUUGACCCAGAUAAUGCGUCUUCAACGCUCACCAAGGUCCUAACUCUGGAGAAGGGUAUCAAAGUUAAUAUCUUUUAAUCAAGGCACUAUUUGUUCUAACAGAACCCUGAUACUUCACCUAUCUUCUUCUUUGUUUUCUUCGACAUUCAAAGCAAUCUGAACAUGGAGAUCUGAUUUUACUUGUAUAAGAUGCUUGCAGCUUGCUAGGUGGUACUUUCAGGUCUUCAACUAGUAUAUGGCGAAGCUUCUCAUUCUCCUCUGUGAGCUCGUCAAUGAUUUGCUGGUGUUUCAAUACCUGAGACAACAUAAAUUCAAUUAAACAAUUCUAUUACAUUUUCCUAACAGGAGUUGAACAGUUUUAGUAGCUUGAAACAAAAUUGAAGAAAGCAAUUGUUUAGUUGAAUAUUUAGAAAAGAAAAAGGUUGAAUUCUUGAUACAAAGGUGAUGUAUGAGCUACAGAAAAUUGGACUCUACAACACAUGAUAACUUGUUCAAAAACUUGUCAAAUGCUCUAAAAACCACAUUGGAACAACAAUAAAUACUAUAACUAUCUGCUACUAUUACAUUGAAACCACAGAAAAGGGAUCAGAUAUUUGUCAGAAAAAAUGACUUCUUAGCAUAUCUUGAAGGCUGUGAGGAAACUCACAAGUUGGACAUAUCAAAUAGGUAUUUACCAAGCAAUAACAUCACCACCAUAGUUGUCUCUUAGUCUCUUAGAUCCAUCACUUGGGAAAAAUUAAUAAUAUUAUAAAAUAAUUAUAAUAAAAAGGAAUCAAUUGAAACCACAAGUCAAUAUUUACUACCAUUUGAAGGAUUUUAUUCUCCGACCUCAAGCGUCCAGCCUACAAAGGUAAAAUCAAUAAAAAUUAGUACAAAAGUAACAUGAAUGGCAGACACACCCAGGUACCUACUACGCCACUACAGAUUGCAGAGAGAGAAAGUGAAAGAGAGAUCAAACCAAAGGGUCUGCAAUAAAAUCACAAAAAUUUCAGACUUAGAGUUGGAACCUGUACAUACCACGUCACUUAGUUCACUAUCCUCUCCCUUCAAAACUGGACUCUGUAAAAAGCUGCUGAGAACCUUCUCUGUACGACUGCCAAAAGGUGUAUCAACUGGAGAGCUUGUUGAUGUAAAAUUAUCAUAAGUUGAACCUGUACCCUUAUUUCCAUAUCCAGGCAAGCCUUGAGUUGCAUAGUCUGCUGGUUUUGUUGCCAUCUGCAUUAUAUUUCCGACUGGAUUUUGGCUUGAUGAAUCAUUCAUAACGCCAAUGCCGCUUUGCAAUGAACUUGGAAUGGCACCUUGAAGGAUUGGUAAAUUGGGAGAAAUUCCAAAUUUUGUCAUCAUUUUUGCCAUUGUUUGCUGGAGAAUUUAGAGUCAGAAACAUAGUAGUAGGCUCCAACGGGAAUUAACACAUGAAAAAGCAAAGUAAUACUUACCAUAGAAAACAGUUGAAUUUGUUGCAAAAUCCCUGGUUUCAGAGCAAGGCCUGCAUUUGGAAGCAAUAGUAAAUGAAUAUUGUUACAAUGUAGGAACUACAAAGUAAAAUGUAUUAACUUAGUAUACAACGUCAUAAGAUAUGAGUGCAAUUGAUUUGGUGUGAUUUAGAACAAUGUACAAUAACUUGGAAUAAUUGAAAGCUGAAGAAUGAAAUUUGUUUCUUAUUGAGAUCUUAAACUCAACUGCAAACGCUAGUGAGAUUACUAAACACAAACGUUCGUCAGUCUAUGACAUUAGUGAUGUAGUGAUUACUCUUAUUCAAAAAAUUAAGUUAUAUCUACAUAAGCAAUUGAUAGAUGCGACUUAUUGAAUAGAAAGGUAGAUGGUAGGACCAUCAUACAUGUGUUAAACUUUAAUAGUCUGAUGACUCCUCUAUUAAGUUUUUGGAGUCAGUCAUUAUAGUGCUAAAAUACAGUUCAUUCUUUGGUAAUCCAACUUCACUAAAAAUACCAACUUGAAAUUCAAAAUAUUGAGGAAAUAUGAAAGAAUACUGAAAAUACUAUGGAGAUCAAGGAUACAUAAUAACAUAUAGGUAAAGUCUGAAUGUUUUUUUUUUUUAAUCAAAGGGUCAACUCUUUAUUGAAUAUAGAACUAAAUUAUACGUUACAAAUAUCAGCUGCUAUAGCAGAGUGAAUAAAAUUGGUGCAGAACUAAGUCUGAAUGUUUUUGUAACUGCUAGACACCAUACAAUCAAUUUUGCUAAAGCAUUUUACAUCCACGCUAUUCGGUGCUUAUGACCAAGGAGAGCAUCCAGUCCUUUCACACCCAAAACAAGGUAAACAACUUAAUAAAGAAUAAAUGAAUUUCUUCAAUAAGCCACGGAUAUUCAGUGAUAAUUUAGUUUAAAAUUCUUAGGUAUGUUGAUAGUAAUUUACAUUACGCGCAUCAACAUUUCCUCAUGAAAACAAAAAAAACAAAGCAUUUCAAAAUAUUCAACUAUCGUAUUACUAUGUAUGAAUCAAAUGGUUUGGAUAACAGAAGCAAAUAAGAAAUAUGUAAAUGAAAUAAUGUCAAUAUAGGAAAGAGAAUAUAUUAUAAUACUGAUUCUCCUAGAAGCAGAUAAGAUGACAUACCAACUCCAAAGCCAUGUCCAAAACCAACGCCACAACCAAUGCCGGCUUCAAUGUUCUUUGCUCCAACCUUCCUUAACUGGACAAUGAGAAAGCAGAAUAAGACAUUUGGGAAUCCUUCAACACUUGUAUAAUGAUUUUCUCUUCCUAUCUCAUAUCAAGACACAGAAUACUCCCGAGAAUCCAAGACUGAAAAGGAAAAAGUUAUUCGACUUACGGCGUCAGUUACAUGUCUGCUAACUCCCGAAAAAGCAUCAGUGGCACCUCUUGUGGCACCCAUGACUUGAUUUACCACUGGUACUGCACCUGGUAUAUAGCCAAAGUAAUGUGUGAGUUAACUAAUAUCUACUAGUCCGCUACAACCAUAGAAGAAAUCUCUUGUCAAUGAUAUCUUUACUUGAGGACACUUGUGACUUAAUUUUAUAGAUUAAUGAUAAUAUAUAUAUAUAUAUAUAUAUAUAGAAUUAUCUUUUUACUCCUGCUAUUCUCUGCGCUUGUAAUUUCGUGAAAGAAGGAUUGGAAAAGAUUUCUAUCUGAAGGUUUUGGCUGACAGAAAAUACACAUACAUAAAAUAUAAAAUUUGAAAAGACUAUUAGAUCAAUGGACUAAAUGAGCAAGGAUAAUAAAAGGCUCUAUAAACAAUAGAAAACUCAGAUUUACGAUCAUAAGUGACAAAGACCAAAUGUACUUUAAGUACUAAAAAUAAUGAGGAAAGGGAUAUGCAUACUUGAAUUUUUGGAUUAUUGAGAUGCCAAAAGGACAAAUACAUUUUCAGUGUACAUAGUAUAUUCCCUGCGUUGCUACAACUCUUUAAGUCUUUAACUUAUAGGUCAAUUAGAGCACGCAUAGGUACAGUGAUGCCCAUCAAGCCUAUAAUAUAAAUACCGAAUUCUAUGUGCUAAACGUGUCUUGUUUUAUAGAACUAAGCACAAAUGGACAUGAAAACAUUCAUUUUUUAAGCACAUGUUAAUGCUGAUUUCUUUCAUUUCUCCCUUCCUCUAAGUUGUUUUCCUCGACUCAAAGGUUAGCAAUGCAGCUUUCCCUUUUCAUUCAUACUUAGACAGGAGUUAAUAUCUUGGAUCAUGCAUGCUAACAAAGUAACAAUGUGGCUAUGUCAGGUGAAUGAUCCUACAUUAGUAGCUUUGGUGACUUGUGGAUAACCUACCAAAUAACCACUAAAACACAUGUGGAAUAUAUUGGUCUUGGAACUCAAAUCCAUUGCCUAUCAGAUAGUGUAAAACUAAGAACUCUCUACCUUCAAAACAACAAUUUAAACUGCUCUGAUGACUACAAAUUGAAUUGAUUUCCAUGUAUGACUACACAACACCAAUUCAAUGUUUCAGAAUAUGAGAUCUCAGAAAUGAGCAAGAGUGGUAAACUAUAGUUCUUGGAAAUAUAAAGGACACCAGGUCCACCAAUAUCGUUGUAUCAACAAAUCCUUCAUUAUCUAAAACGAUAUAAGCACAAGAGACUCAAAUCAGAACAUAGCUUCAAACUGCACACACCCCACGAUCACAUAUUGACUAGAACCACAAUGCGCAAACCUCAAAACAACCAAAUUCUCUACAUCAAAACCAACGCACACUGCAGCUACACUAGCAAAUAACCAAAUGCAAUAUCUAUAAACAAUCAACCAAUCUUCCUUCAUUCACUAAAGGUCUAAAGCCAACAUGAAACAGCUUAAUCACAUUUCCCUACACUAACUCAGCAACCAAAAACACGACCGAAAUUUGAAAACCAAACAAACAAACAGUCCAUUAGAACCUUGUGAGUGAUGGGUUUCACCAUUUUUGGGCUUGAAGAGCCUCCCAAAGUCCAUCUUCAAUAUUUUAAAACUCACAGAGAACAAAGCUACACAACACUGAGAGAGAUAGCAAGGACUAAAAGAAAAGGGUGAGUACCUAAAUUAAUGGGGCGGCCAACGCCGAUACCAACACCACAGCCUAUGCCAAACCCAGUAAAUACUUGACCCACUUUCAAAGUAAACGGAUUCCCUAUUCGAAUCGGCUUCUUCUCAUUGGCCACCACCACCACCUUACUGCUUCCCUCCAUAUUCCCCAAAAAAGCUUCUCUCUUUUCAAAAACCCAAGUCUCUCUCUUUCUUUAGUCUUUCACAAAGCUAAAGCUUCAACCUUUUCUUUCUUUCCUCUUCAAAUUUCCCACCUUUGCCCUCUCUGUGAAGCCUGAACUGUAAGUCUGAUACAAUUUUAGGCAGGAGGCAAACUGAACAGAGUUUCUACUCCUCUGCUUACAAAACCAUUAUAGUAAUCUUAGGCUUCAAGUGAUGAACCAAUAUAAACAUGACACAGCAACAAUGAGGAGGUCAAUUACCAGAUUACCUUCAUACCUAAGAAGUAAGGUACUAACCAAGUGUCAAAGAAAGAGGUUAGCUGGAGUUGUUUGGGCCUAUUGGGCAGGUUAAUUUUUGACGCGGCCCGGCCCAUUGUUUGGGUUCUGACACUGAUAACCCGCCUUAUACUGAUUCUUUGCUUCUGCUAGUGCUAGAUUUUGGGGCACGGUUUCUGGGUGAGCUUCUUCAUCUUUGUUUUGUUUCCUUGUUUUUCGUUUCUCUGUUUUCAUUUUGCUGCAUUUUUAGUAUGUGGGUUUUGUGAGUUUGGGGGCUUUUUGCGUGAACGUUUAGAGAGUUUUUGGUGUGGGAAUGUAGGUUUUGAAAGGUGUGAUCUUGAUGGGUUCUUUUCUGUGUGUUUUGGUUUCUGCAAAUUUGGGUGAGUUUCCUCACCUCUUCUUCUUUCUUUUCCUUUUUUGUUUCCUGCAUUUUUAUUGGGUACAAAAAGUUGGUUUUGCUGAGGUUGGGGUUUUUGAGGAUUCUGGAUUGGAGUUGUGGGUUUGGACUAUGGAGUAUGGAUCAUGUGUUGAAACGAGCUUUCCAAAGUAGAGUUUUCUGCAACUGUAGCCUUGUAUAGUUGUGUACUUGUGUUUAGAGAAAUGGGUAGGAAUAGAACAUUCACCAAGUGUUAUGAAUCCCAUUUGCUUAAUUGGGUUACAAGAUAGGGAUAGGUUUACUUACCCGUUACCCCUCAUGGGGUUCUUUUCAGUUUGGUUAUCUGUUGUGUUUUGGACUUUUAUGUUUAAUAGAUUAUUCAGGGUUUCUGCUUUUGGUUGUACUAUGGAACGUUUAUAUGUAUGUUCUGAGUGUUGUGUGAACUUUAAUUGGUGAUCCAAUCUUUCUAGCAAAGUGUCCCGCACAGUGCUCACUUUGAACACAAAAGGUUUCGACCUUAUCUUCACUUGUGGAAGUUGAGGAAAUCUGUCAAAUGGAGCCUAUUCUACAUAUUCGAUCUUUUGCUGCACUAUAUUCAUGAACACUUUCGUCACAGCUCUUGAUUUUUAACUAGUCCCCUGCUAGUGAAUUUUGUGCGACCAUUGGUACCCCAAUGUUGUUUUAGGUUGAACUUUUUCCUCAGCUUCUGUUUGUUUCUUCAGUUUUGAAAUUUUCCAGCUUGUCUUCAGGUUCCUAUAUAGUGUGUAGGAAAUCUGCUAUGCUUGUUGAGUUUCUGGUAACUAGAUUGUUUGUGGAUUUUGUUGCUUACUUGCUUUGGUUGCAUAUUAACUAUAUAAAAUCUGUAGAUGUGCUCAAGUAUUUAUGUGUACUUUCAAUUAGUAUUUCAGUUUCUUUUUACAUAAUCAUAUGUGGUUUAGCACAUUCAUUUUACUUUACAAAAUUUGGAGUAUGGUAAUUGUUGAAGCUAACAAUAGUCUCUUCGUGGAUCAGGUGUCAACAUCGCUUACCAUUUAUGACAAGCUUCCAUCAGGAAAAAUCAUUGCUUCUGUCAAACUCUGUGAUUACAAAUCUGGCAAGGUAUUCAACUUAUGUUAGCCUUUGAAGUAUACAUGAAUUUGCAGUUCAGCUGCAACUUAUAUCCACAUUUCUUUUAUCUAUUGCUGCAGUACCUUUAUGAACAAGUAAAAAGCAGUUGAUCUGAACUAAUCCUCUGCUAUUUGUUUUUGCAUAGUAAUUGGCGGUCCUAGCAUUAUUUCAGGAGGGGAAACUAGAUACUUGACAACUUCAGUUACAUUUGUAAACGAUAUUGCUGGUCUAAGCUUGACAGAGCCAAAUUCCUUUGAUUUAGUAGUUCUGUAAGUUGGCCACUAACAGAAAAGUACCUGUAGUUUUUGGAUGAUUAAACAGACAAACAUACUGUUGUUAUUUAGGUUUGUCGCAGUGUCUUUUGGUUGCUAGUCAAUAAGAAUACUUGUCUUUGAUGGUUAUUGUGAUUUUAGGUUCUUGAGCAUUACAUAGGGUUAUGUGUUAUCGUUGCAGGAUUUGGAAUCAUCAAUUGUAUCACUAAGUGGUAUCCAUUUUCAAGUAGGAUUUGGAACGUUGCCUAUGGAAAAUUCUGAGCUACCAGCGUAUAAGCGGUGUAGAGUCUCUGCUGUUCGUGACUUUCCUAUUGGGUGUGGACCAUUUGCUCACUUGAGUAAUUUGAAUGCCAAUGGUACAGAGAAGAUUUCAGAUAAAAAAUAUCCUCCUCGAUCAGUAGAAGCUGUUCGGGAUUUUCCACCUUUAUGUGGGAUCAAUGCUUCUCCGGAGGCCAGGAAAUUCAGCAAAGAGAAGUCAGUUAGGGGUUAUAAGCCCUUGUCAUCAAAGACAGCGAAGAAUAAUGAGAAACAAACAGGACUUGGGAACAAAGUUCAACCCAACAUUGAGAAGAAAAUUGGAGGACACUCUCUAAAGAAGAAUAAUCAUGUACCAGUAAAGGCUGCUUGUCAAGGUACAAGUCAGCCUGAUAUAAGGAAGAAGGAGUAUUCUCAGCAUGAUGAAAAAGAACAUAAUCUUGUGAUUCCAAAAUCACGGAGUACAGAUGGGUGCCCUCCUCCUUUUGGUUAUAGUAGUUUGAGCCGCAGAAGUCAUGAUAAUGACACGAGUGAAAGGAACAAGGUAAAGGAGAUAUUGCAUUUGUUCCGAGAUGAAUGUCAGAAGCUCUUGCUGGAGGAAGAAAAUAAAAGGUCAAGGGGUGUGGGAACUUCUCACCGAAGGGUUGAUUUGGAAGCCUUCAAGAUCCUCAAGGAUAGGGGAAUCUCUAUAAAAUCAGGCAAACAUGUCAUAGGAGAUAUUCCAGGAGUUGAAAUUGGUGAUAAGUUUCAUUACCGAGUGGAACUUAUCCUUAUUGGCCUCCAUCACCAGAUACAAAGUGGUAUAGCUUAUGGACAUUUCGGUGGAAAGGUCCUUGCAACCAGUAUCGUUGCAUCUGGUGGCUAUGCAGAUGAUUUGCAUAGUAAAGAUUCAUUGAUCUAUACUGGCCAUGGAGGAAAUGCAAAUCCAAAGGACCCUCAAGAUCAGAAGCUUGAACGGGGAAAUCUUGCUUUAAAGAAUAGUGUGCAAAAGAACCCUGUUAGAGUGAUCCGUGGCUCCGAACUAGUGGAUGGAAGCAGGACAUAUUUCUAUGAUGGAUUAUAUAUGGUAGAGAAAUGUUGGCAGGGUAGAGGUGCUCAUGGUAAGCUUGUUUUCAAGUUUCAGAUGAACAGAAUUGGAAGCAUUGGAAAUUGACGUGUGAGGUUAGUACUACUUAUUCAUCUAUAAGAUAUUUGGAUAUUAUAAGUUAGAACUCGGUUAGUUACAUAUAUCGUGCAUUGUACUGCAUUUGGUUGAGUGGAUGCAUGCAAAUAUGAAAUACUAUCAUAACUGAUGAACUGAAAAUGCAUUGAAUAUGAUUAGACCAUGAAUCCAUUCUUUAUCAUGGUUUCUGAUUUAUGUAGUGUUGAUUCCGUUGGAGUUAAUUUGGUUGUUUUUCGUCCCCACAGAUGCAUGCUUGAACUUGGGUAUACAAGGAAGAAUUGCCAGCCAGUAUUUGACCCAUCUAAAAGAGCUAAGCGGAUGUUUUGUAAAAAGGAUUUUCCAGCGGUUAGUAAGGUGUUUCUGUGACAGGUAGAGUAGAUAAACCGACUUUUGUGAAGAACUUUAGCAUUGAAAAAAAAAAAAAAACUUCUGUGAAGAACUUGACAGUGAGGCACAGAUCGAUGUACUGUCUAGAUAGUGUGAAGCUUGUUAUCGAUGUAAUUAGGUCUAAACUUAAUGUAGGCAGUAUUACGUGACAGUUAUGUGAAUGCUGUGUUGAGUUUGAUAUUGAUCAUGUUUUGCUUGCUAGUUGCAGGAGUUGGCAAUUGCUCUAGUGUGUAAAGUGCAGUUUCAAAUUUCUUGAACUGCGAUUUCCCGCCCAUUAUUAUUGUCACACCUAUAGUAUAAUACACCUUGUUCAUAACCCAAAAGCCCCUAUCAGUUUUAUGAAGAUGCAUAGCUCUGAAUAAAUCGCAAGAAAAGCAUCAAUAAUUUUUCAUAGAUGAACUUUCUCAGAUAAAUAUGUAAGAUCAAUACCUUGCCAGCAAAUAAUUUUCAGGUAGAAAGCAAGAAAUGGACUUAACAUAUAAAUCGUUGCGAAUUAAAAUGCGUGGCAUUCUAAUAUAAUCAUGUCCACUGCAAGGUGUUGGGUGUUGGGGUGGACUAGAGGCUAAACUCGAUCUGUACAAGGAAAAAUUCGAAGUGUCAUAUGUUCUCCCUGGACUUUUUGUUUAGCAAACUAGCACCAACAAAAAAAACUAUACAAUUGUCAUAAAAUAAAGAUGCUGUAAUUUAGAGUGGAAGAUAACUUUAUGUUAAGUCUUUAGUUUCAACAAUCAAAUUUUGCGAGUGAUCCCCAACUAAGUGUGAUAUCUCAUUGAAAUUUUACUGAUUUUGGUUAACGUGUUGAAUGCCAAGCCUACUUACUACAAACCUUCAUUUCAUCGUAAUAUUUACCAUGUAUAUAUCUUGUGUUUAUGUAGUACAAAUAAGAGCAAUAUUAUCAAUUCUAUAUUCGUGAAGUUUUUACACAAGUCCUAAAUAAGAUCAAUUCUUAUUUUAUGGUUAUCUAAGUGACAUCGCUCGUGUAAAGGGAGGUGAAUAUGUGGUUGUCACAGAGGUGCGUGGAGGAGAGAUUGGUUGUGAAAAUAUAGCCGCAAAUGGCAAAUUAUAAUUCUUACGAAUUCAUUCAAAGUAGAUAAAUUUAUGAAACAAUUAAAGAUGUGAAUUGUAGAUAAAAUUUUAAAGUCAAUAGCGUGAGGAAUAAAAUGAAGUUGUACAUAUGUGCUUACCACCACAUGUAUAAAGUUAGGCCUUUUUUUUCUUUUUUGGUUACAAGUUAGACCUUUUUUUUUAUGAUACAAAAUUCGAUGAGUUGUUGGUCGUAUUUAUGAAACAAUUAACGUGUGAAUCAUAGUAGAUAAAAUGUUUAAGAUAAAACAAAAAGAUAAAAGGAAGUUAUUUUUCAGUGCUUACGGCCACAUGUAUUAAGUUAGACCCGCAGUCCAUCACCGAAUGCAAAGCUGCCACAUCAAUCCAGUCAACUGUUUUUAAAUUCUAUGACCAAAACGACCUGGUGUAACCGUUCAGACAAUUCCUGUUUUAGAAACAAACUGACUCGUUGGCAGUCAAUGGACUCUAUACACGAAGUCACGAACUACAAUUAAUUAGCUCAUCAUAUGAAUCCGACUGCCACCACCCUCUUGGGAUUUCUGCGUUUCUUCUCUCAAGUUUGCGUGAGUUUCUCCCUUACCUCUUCGUCUCCCGUAUCAAUUCUUCUGCAUUUUCAACAUAUGGCUGGGAUUUUGGGUGAGAAUAGAUCAUUGUAACUAAUGAUAGUUUUAUUGAGGGCUUCUUGUUCGUUUUCAAUUUUCAUUCUCAAUCUUCUUGCAUGCUGCUUGAUCACACUUCAGUCACUGCAAAGGUUAGCUUGUAGCUGGUUUAGUAUAAUUCUGUUAGUUAGUGUAUAUCUAUGUAAAUUGAGAAAAUGAGUGACUUAGUUGGGUUUUCUGGGCUCAUGGGCAUGGAAGUAAACAGUAUUAGAUGAUAUGAAUGUCACCGGUCAAAAGCUUUCAGGUGAGAAUGGUUCUGUUUUUUUUUUUUUUAAAGGAGUGAGAAUGGUUCUGUUGAAACCAUAAGAACCAUAAGAACUCACCCAGAUAGAUGUACUGGUUCUUUUAGAUUACAGUUUCAAUUCGUAUUUCACAUUAAUAUUUCUAGCGCAAAUUCCCAGCAUGCUCAAUUUGAGAUCAAGAUGGGAAUAAAGUGUGACCAGCUGGCUGCCAUUUGCUCUUAUUUUUACCUAUGUGUGUAUUUCUUCACAGUAGUUAAAUAGUAAACUUACUUCUGUUGGGAUAUAGCUGCACAAGUGAGGGGUCGAGAGGGGGAGUAUCAGAUUGAGUUACUACCAUAACUUUUUGUGUCUGACAAUUGUUUGCUUUGUUGAAUAGGUAUCAGCAACCUUCACAAUUGAAGUCAUCGGCAACUUCCAGAUCACAAAGUAUAUCUCUGGUGUCAGUUACAAAGCCAGAUUCCUUUGCUUCAGUAGUAAUUCCGUAAGUUCCACAUUCAGAAAAAAAAUUAGCAUAAUUACUGCGUGAUAAACCGUACUAAAGUCCGAGGACAGUUAAGUUAGUUGCUAGUACUCGAUUGUAGCGCGUACAUAUCCGUGUCUAUAUAUAUAUAUANNNNNNNNNNNNNNNNNNNNNNNNNNNNNNNNNNNNNNNNNNNNNNNNNNNNNNNNNNNNNNNNNNNNNNNNNNNNNNNNNNNNNNNNNNNNNNNNNNNNNNNNNNNNNNNNNNNNNNNNNNNNNNNNNNNNNNNNNNNNNNNNNNNNNNNNNNNNNNNNNNNNNNNNNNNNNNNNNNNNNNNNNNNNNNNNNNNNNNNNNNNNNNNNNNNNNNNNNNNNNNNNNNNNNNNNNNNNNNNNNNNNNNNNNNNNNNNNNNNNNNNNNNNNNNNNNNNNNNNNNNNNNNNNNNNNNNNNNNNNNNNNNNNNNNNNNNNNNNNNNNNNNNNNNNNNNNNNNNNNNNNNNNNNNNNNNNNNNNNNNNNNNNNNNNNNNNNNNNNNNNNNNNNNNNNNNNNNNNNNNNNNNNNNNNNNNNNNNNNNNNNNNNNNNNNNNNNNNNNNNNNNNNNNNNNNNNNNNNNNNNNNNNNNNNNNNNNNNNNNNNNNNNNNNNNNNNNNNNNNNNNNNNNNNNNNNNNNNNNNNNNNNNNNNNNNNNNNNNNNNNNNNNNNNNNNNNNNNNNNNNNNNNNNUUUAAGAAUUUGAGGAUUUCUACUAUUUUACAUUAGUAGAUGACUUCUUUUAAUAAUCUCAACCGUUGAUCCUCUAGAUUCAUAUGCAAGAAAUAUGUCUACAAAAUUUCAACUUGACACGACCCGCCUCAAAUUUCACCCUGAAACCCGGAGUAAGUCGUGCGGGGACCACCUCCAAGGAAAAUUUUACCGAAAAGAUUGGUAAAACCUCCCUUGAAAAUGGACAACCCUAACUCGAAAAUUCAAAUUUACACUCUUACUACAACACGUCCAAACUUCACAUAAAUAUCCAGCUAAUAAAAGCAAACAUUAUCCUUCAGAGAUUCUAAACAUCAAAUCAACAGGCCGAGCACACCACCGAAAUAAUAUACAACAAUCCCAAAGUAUCCAGAGCUACUAGACUAUAGCGGAAGCAAGAAAACACGAGUAGGUUGAACAAGUAACCUACUGAUGAAAACUAGCAAAAAUGCGGGUGACUAUGCCUCGCCUCCUACUAGAUCCAACCCGAACUCUGCAAACUGGGCAUUUUUUUAAAACGAAGGGCCCAGGGGAAAACAUUUAAUAACGUCAGAGUGAGUGGACAAAAAUAAAUUAAAAAAAUAAAAUAUUUAUGUUUCCCCGACUCAAUUCCCAAGGAAAAAUCGAAUGCAUGCCGCAAGCGAUAAAACUUUAAUCUCAUAAAAUAUCGAGCCUCUCAGACUCUAUAAUAUAUGUAUGUAUUCACACACGUCUAUACUCCCUAUAUAAAUUCAUAGGUCUAUAUAGGGCUACUACGCUCGCGUCACGCCUUAAUGCGGUGCUACACUACGUCAUUAAGAUGGACAGACAGGUGUAUAAAUAUGUGUCCAUACCCCCUAUAUGAAUUAAACACUCAAAUAGGGCUACUACGCUCACGUCCAACGCUCACGUCACACCAUAAUGCGGCUAUAUGCUACGCCAUUAAGGUGGACAAACACAUAUGGCUAGCUAGCAUUUUAUAUACAUACUCUCUCAUAAAUACAUAUUUAUAUCCACCGAAAAUUCCAUUUUCGGUAACUCUCCAAGAGAAAUAAAAUUCGUCAAAUUAAAAUGACGUCAAAAUAUUCCGCAACAAUUAUUGUUCAACCAUGAACUCUAGCAUGCAUUUUAUUUAAAACAAAAAUCCACUCACAAAUUUGGCCUAAGCCUGAUGUUGAUCUGGGGCCUCGUCUGCUCGAGCCUCCUCACGUCCUGAUCCAAAAAUAAUAUUAAUUUCCCAACUAACAAUCCAAUGUUUAAUCAAAAUAGGCAAAAUUACCCGUGAGCCAUAAAUACGCUCAUCAUUGCCUAACUUCGAUAAUCUUAAAUCGAAACGAUCCGAACUUAAAUAUCAUACUCGGCAGCCGUAAAUACAACCUCCCCAAAAAAUACGACUUAAAUCCUACGGCCGGAUUCUACAUUAAUUAACCGCCAAAAAUACCACACUUCGGAAAUUCAUAAACAUAUCCAAAACUCAUCCAAAAAUUCCAUAACUCACUUCAAUAAACUCCCCCUAAUAUUCCAAAUUUAACAACAUUAAAAAUCUCCCAACCGGCGGUGGCCGGAGGCCAAUUCCGGCAACCUCCAAAACCUAUGAAAUUUUGACAGCAUCUUCCUCUCAUCAUGCUCUACAACUUUCCUAACUAGCACAAACCCAAAAUCCAAGCCUAGCUAUGCCAAUCGAACAGAAACAUCAAAAACGCUCUAGAAUUUCAACUUCACAUUUCUCCUUACCUAGCUUAAGAGAGGGUGAGCUGUUUGGAGGGGUUGCUACACGGGAGGAGGGCUACAAAACGAGCCAAGGAUCGCCAGUUUUGGUGGCCGGAGGAGGGAGCUCCGGCGAGAGAACCACCACGGCAGUUAGCGGCUCCGGGUGUCGUUGCUCUCUCACGACGGCGCUAGGGGAACUGCUACCAGCCUAGAAUGAAAGCUGGGUUGGAGGCUGACCGAACGGGACUGGUGCGGUAGUCUCAGGCGGCCGGACGGCGGCGGAUGAGCGGCCGGAAGGUUUGGCUGCGGGAGGGACUCGAGGAGAGAGAGAACCGGGAAGAAAAGAGAGAAGAGAGAAAAUGGGUUUGGGCCUCACACCCCAAACUGGUCCAACCCAAUUCCAAAAAUAAAACACCCCGAAAAAAUAAUACCCGAAUAAAAAUUACAUUUUACUAUCUAAAAUUUACCAUUUUUACCGUCGUCAUAACUUUCUCCUACGAAUAACUCUCCGAAAUAAUCGUCCCCCGAAACCCCUCUAGGGACCAAUUAAACUAUUAUCUCAAUGACGGAGAUGGGAAAAUUCUUAUUAUAAACAAGCUAGUAAAUAAGGUAAAAAUAUAAGAGUCGGGAUGUGACACAACUAAUUCCAUAAUCAUUUGGUCAUUCAAAAUGAUGUAAACAAUUGUAGGCCGUUAAAUAAAAUUAAAAUGAACAUUGUGUUAAUCAAAUGGUUAAACGUUUUUCAUUUUGGCUAAUUUUUUGUAUGAUUCAUAUGUGGGUAAGUAACUAGGGAAUGGGUGGCUUUGAUUGUCAAAAUAUAUGCUAGAACUAAAAACAUCCUUACUUUAAGAGUUUAAUAAGGUCCUUUGUAGAUCUGGACUAUAUAUAUAUAUAUAUAUAUAUAUAUAUAUUAUAUAUANNNNNNNNNNNNNNNNNNNNNNNNNNNNNNNNNNNNNNNNNNNNNNNNNNNNNNNNNNNNNNNNNNNNNNNNNNNNNNNNNNNNNNNNNNNNNNNNNNNNNNNNNNNNNNNNNNNNNNNNNNNNNNNNNNNNNNNNNNNNNNNNNNNNNNNNNNNNNNNNNNNNNNNNNNNNNNNNNNNNNNNNNNNNNNNNNNNNNNNNNNNNNNNNNNNNNNNNNNNNNNNNNNNNNNNNNNNNNNNNNNNNNNNNNNNNNNNNNNNNNNNNNNNNNNNNNNNNNNNNNNNNNNNNNNNNNNNNNNNNNNNNNNNNNNNNNNNNNNNNNNNNNNNNNNNNNNNNNNNNNNNNNNACUAUAUAUAUAUAUAUAGUCUGUUUCUGGUGCGGACGUCCGUACAGGUUUUUCGUACGGAUUUCCAUCGUUUCUCCACCUUUCCAGCGCCGGCGACGCCGUUUCUUCUCCCCGGUGUGAUCUCAGACCUCCUCCGACGUUGUUGGAAUGAAGAAGAAGGCCGGAGAGAUCGCGAUCGGAGGUCUACCAUGAUCGGUUGUGAAGUUCUGAGUGAGAUUGCUGCACAGACCUCCGAUCGCGAUCUCUCCGGCCUUCUUCUUCAUUCCAACACCGUCGGGGGAGGUCUGGGAUCACGCCGGGGAGAAGAAACGGUGUCGCCGGCGCUAGAAUGGUGGAGAAAUGGCAGAAAACCCGUACGGAUGUCGGCACCAGAAACAGACUGUAUAUAUAUAUAUAUAUAUCUAUAUAUGUAUAUAUAUAUCGUUUUUAUUCGAAAUUCGGCGAAAGGUUUGUUAGGACUAUGUGUUCGAAUUAGCGUUACAUUUGUGAAUUGUCAUUUUCUUGACCUUUCCGAUCGAAAUUUAAAGUUGUUUAGAAAACUUUGUAUCAUUAUGGAUUUUGUUCUCUUUCUCUAUCGAUCUUUUUUUCUUUUCCCAUUAUGAUGAGUUUCUCACUUCGUCAAAUUGUCGCGGCUGCUUAUUGAUAGGGUGAAGCUAACUGUCCUCGCAUCUAUCUUCUGGCAACAAUAUAAUUUAAAGUUUAUGAAAUACUAAUUAGGUUGUGUAAUUGUGUUACAUAUCUAGUGAUUUUUUUACCGUUGUGUCAAAGCAAAUGGAGUUGCCAGUAAAACAAUAUAUUUUUUCGCUAAUUGAUGCUUAUAGAAUAUAUACUUGUCCGAUGUGAGUAGUCUUAUUAUUAUCUCGGGACAUACUCCAAAUGCUUCUUAUAAUCACGGGUUUAGACUCAUGUCACCCUUAUAUUCAAUAGUAUCAUUAAUCAAGGCUCGAGAGAAUCCGUACUAGCCCUUCAUUCAAAAAAUAAUAAUUCUAUACUUUUUAUUUUUUGCUUUAUGAAGAUAGAUUCAUGUAUAGUGAAAGAGAGAAUUAUACACAUUUAUGAAGAGAAAUAUUUUUAUUUACUUUCCAAAUUUGUGAUUUUGAGUUAGUUGCUAGUUUGAUGAAACAUAUUCAUAUAUGUUUUUAAUUAUUUGGUGAAAAGUUUGUUUGGACUAUGUUUCUAUAUUAACGUUACUUUUUUUUAUUGUUCGUUUUGACCUACAAUGUAAUUUUCACCAAAUAUGAAUUAGAAAAACCCGAAAAUGGUAUCUAAAGAGAGAAUUUAAUAUUCUUAACGUUGUGUUUGGAUGAAGUAGUUUCAAUUUCCAUAGAAAUUGGAAAAUCAUGGAAAUUACAAUUUCAUGAAUUUAAAUUCCAUUAAUCGGGAAUUUCAUUGUUUGGAUUUCAUGAUAUAGAAUUUUAAAUGAUAAGAAUUUGUAUUUAGACUAACCUCAAUCGAGAGAAUUGACAAAUGACACCUAUUUUGUAAGGAAUUCAAGUUGGGAAUUUAAGUUUUCAAAUUCCACAAUUAUUUUCCUGUGGAAAUUGCUAAUUCCAUUGGAUAAGAAUCUAAACGGGGGAAAUAAUUCUAAGAAAUUAGGAAUUCUUAAUUAUGGAUUAAAUUCCCGAGAAUUCACCCACAUCCAAACACAACAUAAAGAUUUUGUGUUCCCUUUCUUGUUUUUCUUUUCAUAUUAUGUUACAAUUUUUUGAUUUUCGAUUUUCAUUAGGAUUAAGAUUUCCUACAUGUAUCAUGAUGAAAUCGACAAGGAAUAGUUUCUUUUCUUUCCUAAUUUAAAUUUUUUGUGAUCUAUAUAUAUACAAGUCGUUAAAUAUUUGAAGCUCAACAAGAAGGUCAGGAAGAGACUUGUUUUGUUUUUUAGACGUGCCCGUGAUUUGUUAGUUGUUUUUCCGCAGGCAUUGACAACUUCAUAGAUUGCAAAGUGUUAGUCAUAUCAACAAGCUAAACUUCUCCGCUUCGGCAUUCUGUAAGUUCCAUAUUUACUAUUGCUCUCUCUUUAGGCUUUACUUUAAUUUGUUUUGUUAAACCAUUGUGAAUACAUAUAGCUUAUAACUUAGUGAUUACCUAUUCUGUCUUCACAGGUUCUUGAGCAAUAAUUCAUUACCUAAUUGGGUUGUGAGUUGGAAUGGGGUCAGAGGGAUCAUUGCAGCGUACAGGGUCCUCGAGGAAACAUGAUGAGGAAACAUUGGGCUCUUCCCAUUCCAAGUUACUUGACCAUAAAAGGCCAAGAGUCUCUGCCAUUCGUGAUUUUGCGCCAGGGUGUGGACGAUCUACUCACUUCACAACUUCAGUUGGUAGUUCUGAUGAUAUGGCUAGGGAACAUCAUGUCCCUGCCGUUCGUGAUUUUCCCCAAGGAUGCGGACCAUCUGCUCGCUUGACAACUUCAGUUGGUACUUCUGAUGUGGCUAGGAAACAUCAUGUAGGAGCCGUUCGAGAUUUCCCUCCUCAAUGUGGAACAAGUGCGUCUCAGGAGGCCAGAAACUUUGAUCGAGAGGCGCAGUCAGUUAAGGGUGACAAACCAUCAACAUCAUCAAACACUGACAAGACUAAUGUGUAUCGUUCAUGGUGGACAGGAAAAGUUGCCCACAGAUCUAAACCAAAUGGAGAUAUUGGCCCAAUAAAAAAGCAACCUGAAGCAAAUCGUCAGCCAGAAAGAUCUCGGAAUGACUCGGACAAUACUAGAGGAAAGACUACUCAAUUUAGUGCUGCUAGCCUUCGUAACAACAACACAUCUCUCAUCCGAACGAAAGUGACAGAGACACUGAGUCGGUUCAGAGAUCUUUGUAUCGAGAUUGAGCGUAAGAAGUUGAGGGAAGGAGCAGCAAAUCCGAGAAGGAUAGAUUUUGAAGCUGCAAAGAUCCUCAAGAAAGAAAGAGGAUACGUUAAUACAGGCUCACAAAUAAUGGGAGAUGUACCAGGUGUGGAAGUUGGUGACAUUUUUCGUUACAGAAUUGAGCUCACCAUUGUUGGGUUACAUCGCCAGAUUGAAGGUGGGAUCGACUAUACACAUUUUGGUAACGAGUCGCUUGCAACUAGCAUUGUGGCGUCUGGGGGGUAUGCAGAUGAUACGCAUGACUUGAACUCCCUAACUUACACCGGCCAUGGAGGAAGCGUGAUGCACCAUAACCUCCCAGAGCAUCAAGAGCUUAAACGCGGGAACCUGGCUUUGAAGAAUAGUAUCGACGCGGAGAAUCCUGUUAGAGUGAUACACGGGUCUGAGACUUCCGGUGGAAGAAAGCAGUAUGUUUAUGUUGGACUAUAUUUGGUGGAGAGGUGGUGGAAGGAAACGGGGGAUCAUGGAAAGAUUGUUUACAAGUUUCAACUGAACAGAAUUCAGGGCCAGAGAUCGAUCCCUUGGUUGAUAUAACAUAUGAAUUAUUGGUGGUGCAACAACAUCUAGCUAGCUGACAGUUGAAUAAUUUUUGCUGUUCAUCGACACAAUUUGUCAUCUCUUCAUUACUCGUUGAUGGUUGUUGUACCAGUACUGUUCUUUCUUAGUUUGAUUCUGCAGCUGAUUUGCAGCCUUUGUUUCUCACAGAAAUUUUCUAAUUUCUGUGAUGCUAUUGUUUCAAUCAAGACUUCAAGGCCUCGUUUGGUUCAUGAAAAAGAAAGUAGUUGCUACAUUUUUCCUAUGAGAAGGGAAAGAGAAUGGGACUGAAGUUUUCGAAUAACUUUCUAUGUCAUUGGGAAAGCUGAUAACUAAUAUAAUAAAUAUUCUGCUGUGAGUAAUAAAUAUUAAGAAAGAAGAAAGGAAAGUGGUUUAUUUAGAUUUUAGAAUAGUAAACUACAUAUUAGUUACUAACCAAAUAUCAAUUAACAAAAAGGUACAUUAAGCAUAUUAGUAAACAAACAAGGACAAACUUUUACAAAUAAGGACAAAUUGUAAAUGCAUUGCCGUUAUGCAACACGUUAUGCUGUUGCCAUGUGGCAAUGCGCAUUUACAAUUGUGCCCUUCAAACUAAAUGUGCUGCUACUGUCGGCAGUUUACAAACUUCUGCUACUGCGAACUAAAGAAGUUGCUACUGUCGACUGUUUACAACGUUAUGCUACUGCCCCCUGUUUUUACUUUUCUGCUACUGCCCCCUGUACUGUCGGCAGUUUACAAACGUUCUGCUACUGCCUACCGAAUAAGCUGCUACUAUCGACUGUUUACAUACAUUAUGCUACUGCCUUUUGUUUUUACUUUCUGCUAUUGCCAACUAUUUUCAUUUUUCUCUGCUACUACUAUAUUGCCUAUACAUAUAUCAACCAUGGAAUUACUAUAUAUAUAUAUAUUCACUAUUACUGCUGCUAGCCUGCUACUGUAUAUGUCAAUCAUGGAAUCACCUAUAGAGUUGUUGCUACUGCUUUAUAUAUCCACCAUUAAAUCAUUUAUGGAAUAACUGUUACUAGCCUACUACUGCAUAUAUUAACCAUAAACCUCAUUCUUGUUCUAUUCACUCAUGGAAUCUCCUGCCAAUCAACCAAAACCCCCAAAAUUGAAAAUUUUCACGAGCAUUAACAUGCCCAGUCGCAUUCUAAAUCCUUCAAGGUCGCAGGUGACGACAGCGAAGAUCUCGACGUCUCCUGAUCUCUAACCCAAACAAAGAUGAAGCUGACCAUCAUCAAUUCCCACCAAACAUGAACAAAAUGAAAUUGAAUCAGAUAAAAAAAAAAAACAAAGUAAUUGAAGAAGACCCCCAACCAUGUCUCGUCGUUGGUGAGGCAUUAGUGUUGGAAUCAGAUCUGAUGCACAGAAAAAGUAGUUGAAGAAGAUGCCAAACUUGUUUCGUGGAGGCGUUGCCGUCCUCGUCGCGUCAGCAGCUUCGUUGUCUAGGAGGCAACGCUUCUUGAGAGAGAGAGAGAGAGAGAGAGAGAGAGAGAGAGAGAGAGAGAGAGAGAGAGAGAUAAGAAAAGAAGUAGGAGGAAGGGAAGGAAGAAGAGAGAGAGAGAGACGANAGAUAGAAAAGUAAGAGAGAGAGAGAGAGGAAAAUUAAAGAUGAGAGGGUAUUAUGAUCAUUUGAUAGGUAAAAUUCGGAUAAGGGCUAAUGCCAUUAGUUUUGGGCUUGGGUUGAUGUCUUAAAUUGUAUAAAAAUUACUAGAAGUGGGUUUUUGUGUUUUAAAUUUGGUCAUAUGCUACUAUGUAAUUUACUCAUUUUAGAAUGAACUAUUUUUCCCCAUAAUUUCCCUUCAGCUAGGAAAGUGGUUCCUUUUCUUUUGUUUGCCCAAACACAGAAAAUGAACAACUUUUAUUUCCUGAUGCCUACUUUCCUUUCCAGAUUUGAUGUUAGACUAUGUGAGUAUGUGUAUUGGUUUUUUUUGUUUUUUUUUUUUUUCACUCACAUACCCUUACAUAUGUCAGUGAGAUUUGAAUCUAUAAUUUUAACGUUGUUGGUUAAACUACCUAACCAACCAGACCAUGGCUCACAGACAACUAUGCAUAUUGGUAGGGCUGGGCACGGGCCGAGACCGUCCUACUUUUCAUAGGGACCGGGCUCAAACCGGUAACAGUACAACCAAGCCGGUCUUUACAUCAAAAAAUUUGGGGCCCGGGGAAAGCCCGGCCCGGUAAAAGCCCGAACCGGUUUGGUCGGGUUUCAGGCCUGUUUUGCUUUCAUCGAGAGGAAGAGAAGAGAGGUACCUGAGCGUGAGAGCGUCUAAUUCUCAAGAGGUAAACCCACAAUCAAAAUGAAUCGAUUGGAAUUUGAAAACCACAAUCACAAAAUCAACAAAGUUCAUCAAAGCACCAAUCUUUCAAAUCCAAUUAAAAAGCCAAUUUACCAUAAUCACAAAGCAAGCAAAUUUCAGGGCUUAGUUUGAAGGUACCUAAGACUUUUGUCGUUGAAGGUGACGGCGACAAAGCCCUCUUCUGCCACGCGGAGCUGCCACCGGAAUCGUCGCGUCUUCCGCCUUUUCUGCUGCCACGGCGACUUCCGUAAUUUGUGAGCGAACUCAGAACUCGGCUCGUUGCACGGGAGAUGUGCGCUGGCGUCGCCGAGACUCACGAGGCCCGCAGGCGGCAGGCGUCGUCGAGAGGCACGGAGGCGCGGAGGGCGAAGGGUGAAGGGCGGAGGCAUCUAGAAGAGCAGCGUCUCUGUUUCGUCUCUCAGGUCUCAGCGUCUCUGUUUGGUUUAAACUAUGAAGUUUAGGACUUUUAGGUUUGACUUUACACUAAAUGGACUAAUCAUGUGUGGUUGAGCCUAUCUUACUAGUAUAAGAUUGCUAAAAUUAUCUAAUUGUUGAGUAACACAUACGUAGGUCGGGCUUUCGGGCUUAAAAACUUUUGUAAAAUUAGGGCCGGGACCGGCCCGAGUAUAGUUGGGCCCAGCCCGAAAUGACAGAAAAUAAAUGAGGGCCCGUAAAAAAGCCCGGUCCGGUCCGGUCUUUUUUUUCAUUUCGGGUUUUAUGCCCACCCCUACAUAUUGGUAAAAUAGUUUGUUGCAAUUUGAACAUUUUGCAAGAGAAAUUAUUCUCUGUACCCGGAACACCAUGUGGCACUGCCAUGUGGAGUUUCUAGUCAAUCAUAUAACUCAAUUUCUUGUGGGGACCAAUAGGAGGGUGAAAAAUAAAAGAGGUAAAUAAAUAGACCAAUCAGAAAUAAAAUAAAAACACUUGGAGCAAUAGUAUUAGAGGAGACCAAAUGUCACAUGGUAUUUCGGGUACAGUUUAUAAUUUCUCCAUUUUGCAAUACUCUGUAAUCUAAUUAACGAACUUCGGGUUUGUCAUGCAACUUAACAGAGUAAAUAAAGUGGGGUUUGUCUAUAGAACACUAGUAUGUCACUAUUGCAUACGGCAAAAUAGGGAAGGAUAUCUCCACGGUUCUCACUUCUCACCACACCAAGUUUCCAUUGUGUGAGGUAACAACCUUUUGAAUCAAGAACUAAGCUAAAUAUCGUUUCAAGAAACAAACAAACAAAAAAAAAAAAAAAAA
rnacentral:lncRNA from 1 species